CAACACUUGAGCUAGAGUGUCGUACGGGUGCGUAACACGUAUGCAACCUACCUUUUACAGGAGUAUAGCUCCCCGAAAGGGGAAUUAACCCUCCAUAAUAUCAUUGGAUGGCAUCAUUUGAUGAUUAAAACUGAGGUGGUAAAAGAUGGGCAUGCGUCUGAUUAGUUAGUUGGCAGUGUAACGGACUACCAAGACGAUGAUCAGUAGGGGACCUGAGAGGGUGAUCCCCCACACUGGCACUGAGAUACGGGCCAGACUCCUACGGGAGGCAGCAGUAGGGAAUAUUGGACAAUGGGUGAGAGCCUGAUCCAGCCAUGCCGCGUGCAGGAAGAAGGCGUUAUGCGUUGUAAACUGCUUUUGCCAGGGGAUAAAACGGUUCUGCGGAACUAAUUGAAGGUACCUGGUGAAUAAGCCACGGCUAACUACGUGCCAGCAGCCGCGGUAAUACGUAGGUGGCAAGCGUUGUCCGGAUUUAUUGGGUUUAAAGGGUGCGUAGGCGGCCCUGUAAGUCAGUGCUGAAAUAUCCCGGCUUAACCGGGAGGGUGGCAUUGAUACUGCAGGGCUUGAGUACAGAUGAGGUAGGCGGAAUUGACGGUGUAGCGGUGAAAUGCAUAGAUAUCGUCAAGAACACCGAUAGCGAAGGCAGCUUACCAAGCUGUAACUGACGCUGAGGCACGAAAGUGUGGGGAUCAAACAGGAUUAGAUACCCUGGUAGUCCACACUGUAAACGUUGAUGACUCGAUGUUGGCGAUAUACAGCCAGCGUCCAAGAGCAAUCGUUAAGUCAUCCACCUGGGGAGUACGCCGGCAACG
rnacentral:rRNA from 1 species